rnacentral:rRNA from 1 species
GUGGGGAAUUUUGGACAAUGGGCGAAAGCCUGAUCCAGCAAUGCCGCGUGUGUGAAGAAGGCCUUCGGGUUGUAAAGCACUUUUGUCCGGAAAGAAAUCCUUGGCUCUAAUACAGUCGGGGGAUGACGGUACCGGAAGAAUAAGCACCGGCUAACUACGUGCCAGCAGCCGCGGUAAUACGUAGGGUGCGAGCGUUAAUCGGUAUUACUGGGCGUAAAGCGUGCGCAGGCGGUUUGCUAAGACCGAUGUGAAAUCCCCGGGCUCAACCUGGGAACUGCAUUGGUGACUGGCAGGCUAGAGUAUGGCAGAGGGGGGUAGAAUUCCACGUGUAGCAGUGAAAUGCGUAGAGAUGUGGAGGAAUACCGAUGGCGAAGGCAGCCCCCUGGGCCAAUACUGACGCUCAUGCACGAAAGCGUGGGGAGCAAACAGGAUUAGAUACCCUGGUAGUCCACGCCCUAAACGAUGUCAACUAGUUGUUGGGGAUUCAUUUCCUUAGUAACGUAGCUAACGCGUGAAGUUGACCGCCUGGGGAGUACGGUCGCAAGAUUAAAACUCAAAGGAAUUGACGGGGACCCGCACAAGCGGUGGAUGAUGUGGAUUAAUUCGAUGCAACGCGAAAAACCUUACCUACCCUUGACAUGGUCGGAAUCCCGCUGAGAGGUGGGAGUGCUCGAAAGAGAACCGGCGCACAGGUGCUGCAUGGCUGUCGUCAGCUCGUGUCGUGAGAUGUUGGGUUAAGUCCCGCAACGAGCGCAACCCUUGUCCUUAGUUGCUACGCAAGAGCACUCUAAGGAGACUGCCGGUGACAGACCGGAGGAAGGUGGGGAUGACGUCAAGUCCUCAUGGCCCUUAUGGGUAGGGCUUCACACGUCAUACAAUGGUCGGAACAGAGGGUUGCCAACCCGCGAGGGGGAGCUAAUCCCAGAAAACCGAUCGUAGUCCGGAUUGCACUCUGCAACUCGAGUGCAUAGGCUGGAAUCGCUAGUAAUCGCGGAUCAG